rnacentral:rRNA from 1 species
GGACUGUAGGCUGCAACUCGCCUACACGAAGUUGGAAUUGCUAGUAAUCGUGGAUCAGCAUGCCACGGUGAAUACGUUCCCGGGUCUUGUACACACCGCCCGUCACACCAUGGGAGCUGGUAACACCCGAAGUCAGUAGUCUAACCGCAAGGAGGACGCUGCCGAAGGUGGGAUUAGCAACUGGGGUGAAGUCGUAACAAGGUAAC